rnacentral:rRNA from 1 species
GUAACCGGCCUACCAAGGCGACGACGGGUAGCUGGUCUGAGAGGACGGCCAGCCACACUGGGACUGAGACACGGCCCAGACUCCUACGGGAGGCAGCAGUGGGGAAUCUUGCACAAUGGGCGCAAGCCUGAUGCAGCGACGCCGCGUGGGGGAUGAAUGCCUUCGGGUUGUAAACCCCUUUCGGCAGGGACGAAGCGAAAGUGACGGUACCUGCAGAAGAAGUCCCGGCUAACUACGUGCCAGCAGCCGCGGUAAGACGUAGGGGACGAGCGUUGUCCGGAUUUAUUGGGCGUAAAGCGCGCGCAGGCGGCCACGUAAGUCGGAUGUGAAAUCCCGGGGCUCAACCCCGGAACUGCAUUCGAUACUGCGUGGCUCGAGGUAGGUAGGGGAGAUCGGAAUUCCUGGUGUAGCGGUGGAAUGCGCAGAUAUCAGGAGGAACACCGGUGGCGAAGGCGGAUCUCUGGGCCUUACCUGACGCUCAGGCGCGAAAGCUAGGGGAGCGAACAGGAUUAGAUACCCUGGUAGUCCUAGCCGUAAACGUUGGGUGCUA